UUUCCCCAUCCUUGAAGAGGGUGCUGGGAGGUGUUUGCAAGGGUUUGUUUUUUUUUUUUAAAUCUUUUUUUUUUCCUCCCCUUUUGCUAAAUAAAUUAAAAGCAGAGAUAUUUCCUGAUGGAGAUGGAUGAGGCUGGGCUCGCAGCAAUGGGGUUGCUCGCUCGCACGCACUGCUGCAGCCUUGAUCUGGCGUAGCGAGGGUACCGAUGGCAGAAGUGACCUUUCCCAGGCAGUGGGAGGGAGGCUUUUCCCCCGCCCUGACAUGCUCCCGCUUGGAAUUCAUUUUUAAAUAGCAGGGCUAUUAUUUUUUAUUUUCUUUCCCCCUUCCCCUUAAAGAACAGCUUGCUCUUUCAGUGAUUUUUUUUUUUCUUGGCAGCCUGUGGGUUGAAGCUUCCUCAUGAUCUUUUUUUUGUGUGUGUGUGUGUGUUUUGAAUUGUGUUUUAAAAUUGCCCAGCUGGAGACAAGUCUUGAUUAGAGCUGGAACAAUAGCUCCAUUUUAUUAAUAAUGGGAAGGAUUUACAAUCCUACAGCACCUUCCUUGGAAGGCUUUCAAAAUCAUUUGCAAACACAAAUUUAAGAUUUCACAUCCCUUGUCUGUGAGGUGGGGAAAUACAGGAUUGUUUGUGUAACCCCUCUCCACAGCAGAUACCUUCUUUUGCUGGUAUCUCUGCAUUGGCAGGUGUGGAAAUGUAGAGACCGUAACGACAGUAAGCAAGGACAGAUGAGCUGUCUUCUGGGGUCACUUCCAACUCCAGAGAAGAAACCCUGGUCACACAUGACUUCAAGGCGCAGAGUCCCGGCAGUCAUUAGCACGCAAGGAGUGUUAGGUAUCGGCGCCUUCUCGUUAGCCUCCCUUAAUGAGAAUAUUGGCAUCGGUGUCGCAUGAAUGCCUCUGGCUGACCGGCGGAGAGGCCCUGCCCUGCUAAGCUGGAGCAACACCUUAAGAGAAACGCCGUGAUUUCACUGCCAGUGAGGCAGUCUGGUUGCUGCAGUGAUUUGUAGCACGGCUAUGACUUUAUGCUUUUCUGGCAAAAAUUUAGCGGAGGGGAUAUGUUGGUUUGGAGAUAUGCCUCGUGCUCAUCAGAGGCCUUUGCUGGCAUAGACAUAUGGUGGACGAAGAAGCUGGCUGUUUGGGACGUUUCCAUGUUUUUCAGCCUGGAAGACUGAAGUCCUCUCUGUCUAGCUGGUGAAAUGCCCCGUGUUUGGGAAGAACCCUUGUGAGGAUCCAGAACCAGGCUUCGUGUUCAAAACGUUAUCAACGUGUGAGCCAAUAUCCUCUGUCUUGGCAACAGAUGAGCCCAAAUAUCAAACAGCACCAAUUCCUUCUUGGAGAAAAUUAUCCGUUGCAUAAAACGUAAUGGAGUCGAUGGCUUUGUUUGCAAUCCGUGGGUGUCCCUCCCGGCCAGCCUGCCUGCAAGAUGGCCGUGUGACAGCAAUGACCCCGCGUGAGGUUUCUUUGAAGGACCUGGGAGCCGACGCGGUUUUCUCAUGUCCCUCAGAGGUGCCACCCUAGCAGGGAGGGAGGGGAAGAACGGCUGGAAGUGCUGUCGCAGCAAGCACGCUCGAUCGGAGAAGGGAGAAUUCGGCAUCGAAAAGCCGUUCGAUGCGUUGUUUGGGUUUCUUCCUCUCCAAAAUGGAUGCCUGUAGAGCCCGUUAAAGGUAUAGACACGUAGUGACUGCUCUUUGGGCUUCUGACCAGUUAAAACAGAAAGCUAAGCCCAUUUCCACGGAGAGGAAACGUGCGGUGGAAAGUGCUGGUGGAGCGCAUUGGCGGUGCGUUUUCUCGUGCGCACGUGGCUCCAUCACGUGUUUUAAAUAAUAAGACGUUUUGCGUGC